UUUUCACAGAAUGGCAUAUAUACUUUUAUUCUCAAAAUACUAUGUUGUCACAAGCUGUUCUGAGACAAAAA